rnacentral:lncRNA from 1 species
CGUAAAUCCAAGCUGGUACUGUGAGAUUACCUAGGUCCUGCAGGCUUGUCACCUCACUCUCUGAUUUUGGUCAAAAUCAGUAUUAAAUUAGAAAUCAUGUAAUUGUGAAACCCAGGCACUGACUGUUUUACUAGUCAGCAUUACUGAUUGGACUUUGAACCAGAGAAUGGGGACAUGUGACUCUCCGGGCAGCCUGGAUAGGGGAUCUGACUCAGAGAAGCCAAAAAUCCUGCUGCUUACGUCACUCUCCCUGCUCAGACUCAGAGUCCAGGAGGGCCGGUGCUUACCCAUCUGAAGCAGUUGGGGGAGAGGCUAAGAGCUCCUUGAAUUCUCUCAGUGACUCCUGCCAUCAAGAGGAAAUGCAGUAAGGAGGAAAUAGAAAUUCAACAUCCCAGAACACUGUCUAAUAGAAGUAUAAUGUGGACUUCUUAGAUAGAGAACCAUCUUGUCAAUUCUGGUACACUGAAUAACGGCCCUCAAAGACAUCCAGUUCCUAAUCCUGGUAACCAGUGAAUGUUGCCUUAUAUGGAAAAAAGGUCCUUGCAGAUGUAAUUAAAUUAAGGAUUUUGAGCUGGAGAAAAUAUCCUGGAUUAUCUAGGAAGAUGUCAUAACUCUGAGGUUUCUGGCAUUUUAUACAUCCUCAUCUUCUCUGAAAUAUUUACAGGAGGAAAUUCUGACAUGUGAGAGUGGAGAUAAGGACUCACAGAUUUUUUUUUUUUUAAAGAUUUUAUUUUUUUUCCUUUUUCUCCCAAAGCCCCCCAGUACAUAGUUGUAUAUUCUUUGUUGUGGGUCCUUCUAGUUGUGGCAUGUGGGACGCUGCCUCAGUGUGGUUUGAUGAGUGAUGCCAUGUCUGCGCCCAGGAUUCGAACCAACGAAACACUGGGCCGCCUGCAGCGGAGCACGCGAACUUAACCACUUGGCCACGGGGCCAGCCCAGCAGAUUUUUGUUUUUUUUAAAGAUUGGCACCUGAGCUAACAACUGUGGCCAAUCCUUUAUUUUUUUCCUUCUCCCCAAAGCUCCCACAGUACAUAGUUGGAUAUUCCAGUUGUGAGUCCCUCUGUUUGUGCUAUGCGGGAUGCCAUCUCAGCAUGGCCUGAUGAGCAUCGCCAUGUCCACGCUCAGGAUCUGAACCAGCAAAACCCUGGGCCGCUGAAGUGGAGAGAGAGAACUUAACCAGCAGGCCACAGGGCUGGCCCCUCACAAAUUUUUAAUAUGGCUGAAUGAGGCAUUUUGGGCAGGUAACUUUUCUAGUAGGUGGAUCUAGCAGGAAACUUAAAAAAUACAAAUGCCUUGGUCUUCCUCAGAAUGUCCAGAAGAGAGACAAAGAGUUUGUAUUUCUGAAAAAUUCUGCACGUGAUUCAGGUAUGCACAAAGGUUUCCUUGUCUUGGGUUAUAAUAGCAAACCCUCAGGACUUUCCUAAACUGUCAAGCAUCCCCAAAGGCCUGUUACUUGUCAUCUCACUGAAGUCACUAUGAGAACGUGUCCCUUUCUCUCUGAGCUAGCAAGAGAUUCUAGUCACACUUCUUGCCCCCAGAAGUAUCUCUCAGAGCUUUCUUCUAUAUAGUAAAUCUUACUAAGGGUCAGAAAGGGCAACUGGAAAUAUUUAAUCAAUUUUACUGUAUUUUAUGGGGAAAUUUUUAUGAUCGUGAAGCAUUUGUAAAUUGAGGAUUAAAAAGUUCUCCAGUGUAUCUUUUUCAAACGUCAGGGGUAUAUUGUUUCUAGUUUAUACUAAUAUUGUGAAUGUAAGUUUGAUGGGAAAAUGGAAAAUAUUCUGCAAACAUAGUAAUCUUGAGAGAAGGAAGUAUAUCAUCUUUUCUUUCUGACUUGAAUCCUAAAUCUUCUUCAAGGAGCUCUUUGAACUCAGCCUUCUCCUUAAAGACUUCUAAUAUACUCAAUUUUCAUGGUAGCUUGUAUUGUUUUUAAUUGUGAGACAUUUGCAAUCAUUUUGGUGCCUGCAUAUUAUGAUUUCUAUCGUACUUUAAUUAUGACAUUUUAAAAUUUACAUUUUUAUUUUUCUCAACAGGUAUGAGGCCCUUCAGGGCUGAGAUCUUUAAUACCCUAUGCAGUGCUAAGAAUAUUGUCAAGGACAUUUUAAGUGCAAGAAACUCAAAUAUUGAAUUGAAUAAAACAAAAACAUCUUAACAAAGAAACUGAUUUUAUCAGUUUCAACUAAUCAAACUAUCACUUACCUAUCUUGGUUUCUUUAUAGUUAGAAAAUUUAGGGAGCCUAAAGUGACCACUUUCUUUGUGCAGUUGGUUCUCACGAUAUGAUUGCCAUUUUGGUGGUUUGAAUAAUAGUCUUUUUUAAAAGAAUGUAUUUCAAGAUCUGCUGUACUCAUCUGCAAACAGCAAAACCAAACUUUUUAGCUGCAGUAGUGUGAUCUGGUGUGUAUAUUUAUAUUCUUCCGUCUGUGUUUCAUUUACAUGUGUGUGGGGAGGUGAGAGGAGAAACUUUCUUUGCUGUAAUUAUCACCACGAUAAUUAGUUGGGAAGCAUACAACAGUUACCCACGGUCAGGAGUGGUCUGGAAACAGAGGAUCCAACUUCUGAUCUAUUGUCAGAAGGUCAGUAGUAGACUAAGGCCACAUCACAAUGCUUAUGUCACUCACCUCACUUCAUCUCAUCACUUGGCCAUUGUAUCAUCUCACAUCAUCACGAGAAGAAGAAGGGUGAGUACGGUACAAUCAGAUAUUGUGAGAGUGAGCACAUUCGCAUAAAUUUAUUACAGUAUAUUGUUAUAAUUAUUCUAUGUUAUUAUUAGUUAUUAUUGGUAUGUCUUACUGUGUCUAAUUUAUAAAUUAAACUUUAUCAUAGGUAUGUAUGUAUAGGAGAAAACACGGUAUAUAUCAGGCUCAGUAAGUCUGUGGUUUCAG